rnacentral:lncRNA from 1 species
GUGCUGAGUAUCAAUUUCUUGCUGCUCUCUUCAAGGUAGAUGAAAAAGCUCGACACAAGAUGGCGUCUGACGUGCCAUGGAGCAGCAUCAUUGUCCGGAAGGCUUCCAGGUGAUCAACUGGAUCCGAGGUCCCAUCGUAGCCUUCAAAUUGGGAGAGUUUGAAGUUUGACAGAAUCGAUUCCUGCAUAAUCAUUUGAGAGAAAGGAGGGUCAGUACAGAUAUCCUCACCGUAAGCAGGGGGAGCAUGACGGAGCUCUUCGAUCCGUCAGUUCAUCUCCUGGAACCUUUGAUC